rnacentral:misc_RNA from 1 species
GUGAAUCAUCAAAUCUUUGAACGCAAAUUGCGCUCUCUUCGAAGAGUAUGCCUGUUUGAGGGUCAGCCUCAGAAAAUCGACAUAGGUGCUGUUACGCGGUAGCAUUCGUCGGAACUUGGGUCCUCUUAAACCUGUGGUGUUAAGCGGUUUAAAUUUUUCUUUACGAUUCCAAGUACGUUUCUAAGAUUUUAUUUUCUUAUACGUUUAAGUUAUCGAUCUUUAUUAGACGUGGCCGUUUCAUCGGAUCUCUUCCAUAAAUAUUUCGUUAACUGUCCU